GCGAGUUGGAACAGUCACAUGUCAGAGGUUUAUUUAGGUAUUGUUCUAAAUCAAGGUCCUGUAAUGCUUGUUUAUAGUUAAAUAUUUUGGGUGCAAUGGUUUUGGUGUAACUGUAGGAUACAAUAGGAACAGACUGAUUUUGAAAAUAAAUAGGAAUUUUAGAUGUUACCUCCUUGUGAUGUAGAACGUUGCUGAUGUUGAUUGCAUCAAUUCCUCUAUUGUUAAAGUGAACAGGAAGGAAUUUCCUCUUUUCCUCAUGUAAAGGUUCCGAUCUUACUGGUUUAAAGAGACGGAAAAGAGCUACAUCACAAAU
rnacentral:lncRNA from 1 species